UAAAUAACAGAGGAAGCAGAGAUCGUGAGGAAGCAGAGAUCAUAAAUAACAGAGGAAGCAGAGCAGAAACAGAGUAAAAAGAAAAUUGGGCGAGUCCUCCGGCAGUUCUCACUUUCAAAUUUACAGUAGUUCUACAGCAGUUUUUUUAGCAGUUCUCACUUUCAAAUUUCUAAAUACAAGUUCGAAUCUUAGCUGUACAGGGAGACAGAGGGAGGCUGAUCAAACAAAAACACUAUAUAUCACUCUCAUAGCAAACAGUUCAUAAAAAUUAAAAAAAAAAAAAAAAAAAAA